rnacentral:rRNA from 1 species
AGAGUUUGAUCCUGGCUCAGGACGAACGCUGGCGGCGUGCUUAACACAUGCAAGUCGAACGGAGCGCCUAUGAAGGAGAUUUCGGUCAACGGAAUAGGUUGCUUAGUGGCGGACGGGUGAGUAACGCGUGAGGAACCUGCCUUUCAGAGGGGGACAACAGUUGGAAACGACUGCUAAUACCGCAUAACACAUAGGUGUCGCAUGGCAUUUAUGUCAAAGAUUUAUCGCUGAAAGAUGGCCUCGCGUCUGAUUAGCUAGUUGGUGAGGUAACGGCUCACCAAGGCGACGAUCAGUAGCCGGACUGAGAGGUUGGCCGGCCACAUUGGGACUGAGAUACGGCCCAGACUCCUACGGGAGGCAGCAGUGGGGAAUAUUGGGCAAUGGGCGCAAGCCUGACCCAGCAACGCCGCGUGAAGGAAGAAGGCUUUCGGGUUGUAAACUUCUUUUGGCAGGGAAGAGUAGAAGACGGUACCUGUCGAAUAAGCCACGGCUAACUACGUG